CCUACGGGAGGCAGCAGUGAGGAAUAUUGGUCAAUGGGCGGGAGCCUGAACCAGCCAAGCCGCGUGAGGGAAGAAGGUACAGCGUAUCGUAAACCGCUUUUGUCAGGGAACAAAGGCGGGGACUAGUCCCCGGAUGAGGGUACCUGAAGAAAAAGCAUCGGCUAACUCCGUGCCAGCAGCCGCGGUAAUACGGAGGAUGCGAGCGUUAUCCGGAUUUAUUGGGUUUAAAGGGCGUGUAGGCGGGAAAGCAAGUCAGAUGUGAAAACCAGGGGCUCAACCUGUGGCCUGCCUUUGAAACUGUUUUUCUUGAGUACUGGAGAGGCAGACUGAAUUCCUAGUGUAGCGG
rnacentral:rRNA from 1 species